ACCAAUCGACAGCAAGUGAAAUGUCUUGUCAGGGGGUGGAUUGAAAACAGAACAAAUGAGAAGGAAACAACCAAGCGACAGUGUUGCCAUGAAGUAGUGAGCUCCUGACAAUAGGAGACUUGGGGAAUCCCUUAUAAUCUAACCCUGCUCCAUUUGAGAUUUUGUUCAUCAAAGACAAAAAAUUGCCAUGUAGCGGCGGUGGUGGCAAUAAUGUCAUUAGAAAAAAAGUAUAGUGCUCCCUUGUAAGUGUAAUCAUUGUUAUUAUCCUUGUGAUCAUUUCAUUGCACUCCCAAACAUAAGUACAAGCUAAAAUGAAACAAAAAGGAGAAAGAAAAGAAAAACUAAUGACAGCAUCCUCCAUUUUCUCAAUUACGAUUGUUAACGAGCACAUGUAUUGGAGAAAACAAAGGAAGAAACAAAAUUUUU